rnacentral:rRNA from 1 species
CCUACGGGAGGCAGCAGUGGGGAAUUUUGGACAAUGGGGGCAACCCUGAUCCAGCAAUGCCGCGUGAGUGAAGAAGGCCUUCGGGUUGUAAAGCUCUUUUGUCAGGGAAGAAACGGCUGGGGUUAAUACCUCCGGCUAAUGACGGUACCUGAAGAAUAAGCACCGGCUAACUACGUGCCAGCAGCCGCGGUAAUACGUAGGGUGCAAGCGUUAAUCGGAAUUACUGGGCGUAAAGCGUGCGCAGGCGGUUUUGUAAGACUGUCGUGAAAUCCCCGGGCUUAACCUGGGAAUGGCGAUGGUGACUGCAAGGCUAGAGUUUGGCAGAGGGGGGUAGAAUUCCACGUGUAGCAGUGAAAUGCGUAGAGAUGUGGAGGAACACCGAUGGCGAAGGCAGCCCCCUGGGUCAAGACUGACGCUCAUGCACGAAAGCGUGGGGAGCAAACAGGAUUAGAUACCCUGGUAGUCCACGCCCUAAACGAUGUCUACUAGUUGUCGGGUCUUAAUUGACUUGGUAACGCAGCUAACGCGUGAAGUAGACCGCCUGGGGGAGGUACGGUCGCGAGAAUUAAAACUUAAAGGUAAGUUAGACGGCGUGAGACGUGCCGAACGGACGACGACGAGGGAGGUAGG